rnacentral:rRNA from 1 species
GAUGAACGCUGGCGGCGUGCCUAAUACAUGCAAGUCGAGCGAACGGACGAGAAGCUUGCUUCUCUGAUGUUAGCGGCGGACGGGUGAGUAACACGUGGAUAACCUACCUAUAAGACUGGGAUAACUUCGGGAAACCGGAGCUAAUACCGGAUAAUAUUUUGAACCGCAUGGUUCAAAAGUGAAAGACGGUCUUGCUGUCACUUAUAGAUGGAUCCGCGCUGCAUUAGCUAGUUGGUAAGGUAACGGCUUACCAAGGCAACGAUGCAUAGCCGACCUGAGAGGGUGAUCGGCCACACUGGAACUGAGACACGGUCCAGACUCCUACGGGAGGCAGCAGUAGGGAAUGUUCCGAAAUGGGCGAAAGCCUGACGGAGCAACGCCGCGUGAGUGAUGAAGGUCUUCGGAUCGUAAAACUCUGUUAUUAGGGAAGAACAUAUGUGUAAGUAACUGUGCACAUCUUGACGGUACCUAAUCAGAAAGCCACGGCUAACUACGUG